rnacentral:rRNA from 1 species
CGGAACGGGUGAGUAACGCGUGAGGAACCUGCCUCAAAGAGGGGGACAACAGUUGGAAACGACUGCUAAUACCGCAUAAGCCCACGGCUCGGCAUCGAGCAGAGGGAAAAGGAGCAAUCCGCUUUGAGAUGGCCUCGCGUCCGAUUAGCUAGUUGGUGAGGUAACGGCCCACCAAGGCGACGAUCGGUAGCCGGACUGAGGGGUUGAACGGCCACAUUGGGACUGAGACACGGCCCAG